rnacentral:sRNA from 1 species
CCAUAGCAUUCGAAUAAACUGCUGCUCAGCAGCUGGUCGCCGGGUAAGGACCACCACGAUAUGAUUCCCACAGUAACACUGCAGUUAUGAGAUACAAAGGUGCCCAGGCCCUACGGCGACAUAGCACGUCCGGCCACCUGAAGACCACUACGAGUAACGUUGCCGGCCCGCUGUUGAGGAAUCGCCUACAAUAAUGGCCGGGCGCCAGAUUGGCGGGUUCAGGGGCCAGGAGAAGUUGCUAUCACUACCUCUGUCUCGAAGGUAUGCUGGUGGGGAAGGGG